UACGUCGGUGGCAAGCGUUGUCCGGAAUUAUUGGGCGUAAAGCGCGCGCAGGCGGCCUUUUAAGUCUGAUGUGAAAGCCCACGGCUCAACCGUGGAAGGUCAUUGGAAACUGAAAGGCUUGAGUACAGAAGAGGAAAGCGGAAUUCCACGUGUAGCGGUGAAAUGCGUAGAGAUGUGGAGGAACACCAGUGGCGAAGGCGGCUUUCUGGUCUGUAACUGACGCUGAGGCGCGAAAGCGUGGGGAGCAAACAGG
rnacentral:rRNA from 1 species